AAAGUCAUGGGGGUUGAGGUGCUGGAUUCACCAGUUGGUUGGAGGCUGGGUGGGUUCGGUGCCGCAUGAAUGGUCCAGCUCGGUGCUGUCGCAGUCCGAAUCAUCAUACAGGCACUGCUGUGGAGAGAAAACGGGAACUUAUACGAGCUGCGUCUUCACGCGCUGCAGAGCGGCCUCCUUUUCGGAUAACCCGUCGGAGCCCAGCUGGGCCGGGUCAGACGGGUCGGCGGGAAUCUCGGAGCCCUGGGACAGCAGGUCGUCGCUUUUGUCAUCCAGGCGCUCGUCAGUGUUGGUGCUCACCACGUCGGGCGUGCCGCUGUGGGAGUGGUCAGUGGUGUUGCCCUCCUCGCCGUCAGACACCGACAGGUUCUCCGAGCUAAAGGUCGACAGGGACUGGCAUUUGGGGAUGCCCACGGGAGGCCGCCUGCAGACAAACGUGAGGGGGAAAUGAAGUUACCACACCUGAAUGAGUCUCACAUGGUCCAGAAAAGAGAAGUUAUUCCUGUGAAAUACGUUCUUGAAGAAUGAAGACGGUUUUAAAGUUUUCCUCUUGAGUUAAUGCGGCCAAUGAGUUCUGACGGCACUGUUGGGGCAUGAAGAGGCAUGUUGAAGAACUUUUGCGUCCGAAUAAAUGUCUGUAAAAAACGAAGAGCCGUUUUUACCUUUUAUUGAGCUCAAAAGAAAAGACAGAAAUAAAAAAGUAUAAAUUCACAAACAAAGCAAAGGUCAAAACUAUGAGAAAAAAUUCUAAAAAACGAAGGGAAGCUCCAUUGAACUACACACAAAAUUCCAAGGAUUUAUUCCAAGAGGUGUGUCAUAACUUUUAAUGUUUUUUUAAACCAAAAAUGUCAAAGCUAAGAACUUUUUAAAACUUUCAUGUUGAAUGUUGAAUCAAAAAAACUAACGGGGGUCGUUUUCAAUGACUGUAAAGUCAUCGUGUUUGUCAAACUCAGUACUAACAGUACACAGUCAGUACUAACAAUUUAAUUCUUUGAAGUUUCACUGUCAAAAUUAAAAUGUUACCCUAUAUAUAUUUCUGUGAAGUAUUCUUACCGUCUCCGUGGCGCCUCCACUUCGCUGUCCGCCUCUCCCUCCUCUUCCUCCGAUGACAGUCCUCGUCUCUGUGGAAAGAUGGAUGAAGUGUGCUUCAGUGAGCUCUUCUCAGACAAACCGUAUCUCUGAGUUUUGAGAUGCUCCCAAGACACAGAAACAGUUUUCUUCGAGUAGGGCUCACCUGGCUGCGGGUCACUGCUGCCCUGUAGAGUAGUGCUGCAGGAGUGAGGCGCUGACUCCUGGGGGAGCGUGUGAUCACCGUUCCUUCCUCCUUCUCGUCUCCGUCGUAGGGCACCCGAGUGCUCCCCAGUACGGACGUCCUCCCCGCGGUGGCUCCUCUGCCGCAGGGAGAGUCCGGGCUGCUGGAGAACGGGAUAGACGCCGCGUCUUCACUGGGCGUGUCGCUGCGUGGAGGCGUUUCCACCAAGUCAUCGUUCCCCACGCCGACGUUGGGCCUGUCGGCCGGUUCUUCGGGGCCUCUGCUCUCUUCCAGCCCAGCUGAGGCGCUCUGGCUGCCCGCCCUGUCCAGCCCCGGCCUCAGCUGACCUUUCCUCCGGCCCUCGGCCUCCAGCGUGGUGGAGAUGAGAUCGGGGCUGGAGGAGGACAUCUUCUUGAGGAGCAGGUCGUGCUGCAAGCCUCUAAUGGCCGCGGUGGGGUCUAAACGCUGCUUGGUGCUGGACACAGAGGAGUUGAUCAUCGCUAAAGACGAAGACAGAGUGGCUUUGAGUUGAGCUAAAUCCCCGCUGCUGCCUUUGCCAGCCUUCCUGUAGCGGGGUUUCCCUCGGCGUGAGCGGCCAGGGGAUGUGGAGCCUUUGCUGGGAAUGGUGACCUGAGUCAUGGAGGAGUCCAAUUUGGGGAGGAUGACCUCUGGCUUAAGUAGAUCUGGCCUAAAA